GGUAGCUGUGCCCUGUGGACCUGGCUCGUGGUGGCUGCUCGUGGUGAAGGGUGAUGAGGGAUGAGAGCAGCAAGAUGUGAAAGGAGGAGAGCUUGAAUCCUGCUCCUGAAUCUCUUAAGAAAAUUAUAGAAAGCAUGGCUGGUGAGCCCUUGGGGCUCCUGCCUUCCUAAUUCAGAUCAGAGUGGAAUUGGACAUUGUCUAUGUUUUGUGUGCCAUGUGUGUGCUGAAUGCCCUUCUGGGCUCGAAGGAGGAGGCAGUCUCUACAACAUGCCAGACCCAGAGAAACCCCAAGUUUCCAGACAGAAGCUUCAACAUGGAAGUUCAGUUAUGGUAUGUGGAUGAGGAGAUGGAAACUGGUUUUUAAAGCUGGUCAAAGGCCUUGUCAAUUCAUGGUAGACAUGGGGUUUGGUGAACUGUAAUGCUCAGCCCUUCCCAUGCAACAUUCCCUUCCUGGGGUCCUGGAGAGGCCCCCUUGCACCACCCCCCUGCCUUGCACCCACAAAGGACCCAUUGUCCCCACACAGGCAUCCCCGGUGCUGAGCUGCCCCUGUGCAGCUGUCACAACACUGGGAUCCUCUGGCUCUUCCUCGGACGGUUUUGUUACCAGAUCUGAGUCUGAUGUUUGCACUUUAUGCUUGCUCCCCACCCCAGGCCUGACAUGGGGCUCUCUGCAUCCCAGGCCCCCCGGGUUCCAUCUGACAUGCUCCUUGGGUUUCCUGAGCCUUCACUGUGCCCACACCUGUUUUGCUGUGGGAACUCUUGACCUGGAUUCUCUCCCUGCCUUAGAAUGCUGGGAAUUUCAGGAGACUCGGGGGCAGGGUGAAACAGAUCACCCCCUGUUUCUUUCUUCCCUUCCUCCCCAGAGUAAAUAGCAAAGGCUUUAGUUUUAAAUUAGAGAUGGUGGACCUUAUAGUCUUUGCAAAUAUGAGUUGGUGUCAGUCUCUGACCCUUUUCCUUUUUCAUUUGGACACCUGGGGAUUUGUUGCUAGGUCCUGAAAGCCUGGACUCAUGUUAUCUCUUAUCUUGCAGUGUUUCCUGGUUUUUCGAUUACACUUUAUUUAAGUAGAACCAGACCUUUUCCAUUUACUUCCUGUUCUCACUCCAGCCUUUUGGUCACUGGAUUGCACAUUCUAAUUAUAAUGCUGUGCAAACAGAGUGCAUACCAUUGUCACAUGACCUCCAUGAGAUAGCAUCAUUAGUAGUGUUGUUCUUAUCAGAAAGACCAAGAAACUGAGGCAGGAAGAGGCCAGGUGCUCACUCAAGGUCAUAGAGUCAGUGGGAAAGCUUAGCCUUACUCAGGUUCUCCUGGCCCUCAGCUCAGAGUCCUUUCAAAACUAAUAGGACUUCAGUGCUGUGUGCCCCUUAGAAGCGUGUUCAAAUCAGCAGGUGCUGAUGGUCUCCUCUCUUCUCAGCCUCUCCAGAGUCCAAGCAAGUUUGUAGGAAUCCCAUUUACCUGAGAAAGACUUUGUGUUUUCAGGAUGCCUUCAGUGUAGGGCAGAGUUCCAGUCUCAUCCUGCAAAGAUUGGAUGAGAACAGCAAUGAGAUCUCUUGCUUCCCUUCUCCCGUCUGCCUCCUAUCCCACAAAUUCUAGAAAGUUGUGGAAGAGAGAUCUUUUUGUCAUUUACAUGAUAUCUUCUGGAAGUCCUGUGAGUGAGUUUCUUCCCCUUCUAUAUUUCCUGAACUCAGGGCCACUGCUUAAAUUGAGCAAAAGAUCAUCGCAAAACUCUAAGGGAGUGCUACUCAAAUUCAUAGUUGGUGUUGCUCUGUUUAUUAUUAUAACAGUUUUUCCAGUAGAUGGCAGGAGAGUGUUGUGAAGAGCAGGUGCCUUGUUCUAAUUUGUGCGGCAUCUCUGUGACUUAGCAGUGGGCCCACACUUGGCACAUGACUGUUACAGCAGUCAUGACUAAGCUAGGGCCCCAGCAGAAAGAUGACCAUGGUAAGCAUAACCUCGAAGCUCUGUGCCCAGCCUGGCUGCACUGGAGGGGACAAGGCAGGCAGUUGGAGAGCUGGACAGUGAGACCUCACCCUUGGGACUGCCAUGGUGGCCCAUGAGGCCCUUUUGAGAUGCGUGGUUUAGUCUGGGGGUCCUCAAACUAUGGCCAGCAGGCCAAAUCCAGCCACUGCUUGUUUUUGUUCGGCCAGCGAGAAAGAUGUUGCCAACAUUUGGGACUUCCAUUGGCUCCAGACUAUCAUGAUAUUUUUGGGAAUGUAUCCAAAAGCAGAAGGCAGCCAAACUGUAGUCAUGAGAAGAUGGAACAGUGCUGUGGGAGAAAGACAGAAGCUUAGAGCUUCAUGACACUGGAGAGCCCCUGGGUCAACCAACUCUAAAGCUGUAUUAACUUGGAUCGCAAGUUGUGUGUUUUGAUUAUUUUUAAGCCAGGCCGAGCUGGGUUUUCUCUUCUGUGCAUGUUUAAAGCUGUUGAGUAAUACAGAGUGAGAAUUAUUCUCUGAAAUUUUCUGAGUGUAAGAUUUCUAUUUCCUUUCUUGGAUGCCCCCACACUUACAGCCUUAAAGUUGCAAAUCUCUCACACGAACCAUUUCUUCCUUUGAAUUGCUUCUUUUUAAUAGUGUUUUUAAGCCCUGGAUGAUGUAGCAGUAGUAGUAGUAGUAGUAGUAGUAGUAGUAGUAGUAGUAGUAGUAGUAAUAAUAAUAAUAAUAAUAGCUAUUACUGUGCAUUUUCUAUUUGUUGGGCACUUUCAGAAGCAUUUUAUGUGUACCGCAUUUCCUACUGUAAAAUAGUAUGAAUUUAGAAGGAAUAAAUGUGCCUUUUACCUAUAA